GGAAAGGCGUGCGAUACAGGGUGACAGCCCCGUACACAAAAAUGCACAUGCUGUGAGCUCGAUGAGUAGGGCGGGACACGUGGUAUCCUGUCUGAAUAUGGGGGGACCAUCCUCCAAGGCUAAAUACUCCUGACUGACCGAUAGUGAACCAGUACCGUGAGGGAAAGGCGAAAAGAACCCCGGCGAGGGGAGUGAAAAAGAACCUGAAACCGUGUACGUACAAGCAGUGGGAGCCUCUUUAAUGGGGUGACUGCGUACCUUUUGUAUAAUGGGUCAGCGACUUAUAUUCUGUAGCAAGGUUAACCGAAUAGGGGAGCCGAAGGGAAACCGAGUCUUAACUGGGCGUUAAGUUGCAGGGUAUAGACCCGAAACCCGGUGAUCUAGCCAUGGGCAGGUUGAAGGUUGGGUAACACUAACUGGAGGACCGAACCGACUAAUGUUGAAAAAUUAGCGGAUGACUUGUGGCUGGGGGUGAAAGGCCAAUCAAACCGGGAGAUAGCUGGUUCUCCCCGAAAGCUAUUUAGGUAGCGCCUCGUGAAUUCAUCUCCGGGGGUAGAGCACUGUUUCGGCAAGGGGGUCAUCCCGACUUACCAACCCGAUGCAAACUGCGAAUACCGGAGAAUGUUAUCACGGGAGACACACGGCGGGUGCUAACGUCCGUCGUGAAGAGGGAAACAACCCAGACCGCCAGCUAAGGUCCCAAAGUCAUGGUUAAGUGGGAAACGAUGUGGGAAGGCCCAGACAGCCAGGAUGUUGGCUUAGAAGCAGCCAUCAUUUAAAGAAAGCGUAAUAGCUCACUGGUCGAGUCGGCCUGCGCGGAAGAUGUAACGGGGCUAAACCAUGCACCGAAGCUGCGGCAGCGACACUAUGUGUUGUUGGGUAGGGGAGCG
rnacentral:rRNA from 1 species